CACAUUCCCAACAACCAUAGGCAGCCACUUGCCCUUGGAGUAUGUUCAUGAGGAAAUUUUUCUGCAGAGUGCAGCAAAACUUCCUGUACAGUUCAUGGAAGAGACAUCAUAAUAUGGCCCUCUGCAGUCAUCAUCAGGAGUGAAAAAGUGAAUACUCAAACUGACACUAAGGAGCUACAAAGCCUUUUACACUAGCUGUUUAAGUAAGCCUCACAGAUUCACCGUUGAUGCACUUCAUGCAGCAAAGCUGGAGGGAGCUGCUUGGGGGUAUCCAGAAAGUCAACAACAGGGCUGAAAACACUCAAGGAGCCCCUGGAGAUAAUUGCUGUUAUCCAUUUGACCACCAAACUGAAAGCCAAGACUAUGAUGAACUGUCAGCCAGCAUAAAGCAGAGCAAGGGCAGAUUUUACAGUUGCUGUGUGUGCCUGAUACCAGCUUCUCUGGAAACAUUCAAGGAUAUUUUUGGUUCAAGAUGAAGAAGUCACCAGAUAAAUUAUUAAACCAACUGAAUCCUACUUAUUUCAUGUAUAUGAGAACGGCACUAUUGAAACAGUAUUUUGCACUCAGGGCUGCCAGUAGUUAUUCACACAUAUUGUUCUACAUGUGCUGUUUCUUCCCUAAAGCCAUAUUAGUUUAGAUGUUCUCAACAUUAACCUGAUUUUACAUCUUUAUUUGCAGUCCCUUUUUUGCCCAGUAUUGAAUCAUAGAAUCGAUCAGGUUGGAAGAGACCUCCAAGAUCAUCCAGGUAUUGGUAAGAUGUGAGUUUUCUUCCUACAAUGAAGCUGCAGACCUGGAUUCUGACUCUUUGUCUAUGCUGUUGCACAAAAUAUGUCACUUUAUUGGUCUAAAAUAAAUGUUAAUAAAAGAGCUUCG